rnacentral:rRNA from 1 species
CCUACGGGAGGCUGCAGUGGGGAAUAUUGCACAAUGGGGGAAACCCUGAUGCAGCGACGCCGCGUGAGUGAAGAAGUACUUCGUUAUGUAAAGCUCUAUCAGCAGGGAAGAAAAUGACGGUACGUGAGUAAGAAGCCCCGGCUAACUACGUGCCAGCAGCCGCGGUAAUACGUAGGGGGCAAGCGUUAUCCGGAUUUACUGGGGGUAAAGGGAGCGUAGACGGCAGUGCAAGUCUGGAGUGAAAGGCGGGGGCUCAACCCCCGGACUGCUUUGGAAACUGUACGGCUGGAGUGCAGGAGAGGUAAGUGGAACUCCGAGUGUAGCGGUGAAAUGCGUAGAUAUUAGGAGGAACACCAGUGGCGAAGGCGGCUUACUGGACUGUAACUGACGUUGAGGUUCGAAAGCGUGGGGAGCAAACAGGAUUAGAUACCCCAGUAGUC